CAGCAGCCGCGGUAAUACGGAGGGUGCAAGCGUUAAUCGGAAUUACUGGGCGUAAAGCGCACGCAGGCGGUUUGUUAAGUCAGAUGUGAAAUCCCCGGGCUCAACCUGGGAACUGCAUUUGAAACUGGCAAGCUAGAGUCUCGUAGAGGGGGGUAGAAUUCCAGGUGUAGCGGUGAAAUGCGUAGAGAUCUGGAGGAAUACCGGUGGCGAAGGCGGCCCCCUGGACAAAGACUGACGCUCAGGUGCGAAAGCGUGGGGAGCAAACAGGAUUAGAUACCCCUGUAGUCCCUGUCUCUUAUAA
rnacentral:rRNA from 1 species